rnacentral:rRNA from 1 species
CCUACGGGAGGCAGCAGUGGGGAAUAUUGGACAAUGGGGGGAACCCUGAUCCAGCCAUGCCGCGUGUGUGAAGAAGGCCCUCGGGUUAUAAAGCACUUUCAGUGAGGAAGAACGCCUGGUGGUUAAUACCCAUCAGGAAAGACAUCACUCACAGAAGAAGCACCGGCUAACUCCGUGCCAGCAGCCGCGGUAAUACGGAGGGUGCGAGCGUUAAUCGGAAUUACUGGGCGUAAAGCGCGCGUAGGUGGCUUGAUAAGCCGGUUGUGAAAGCCCCGGGCUCAACCUGGGAACGGCAUCCGGAACUGUCAAGCUAGAGUGCAGGAGAGGAAGGUAGAAUUCCCGGUGUAGCGGUGAAAUGCGUAGAGAUCGGGAGGAAUACCAGUGGCGAAGGCGGCCUUCUGGACUGACACUGACACUGAGGUGCGAAAGCGUGGGUAGCAAACAGGAUUAGAUACCCGUGUAGUC